UUGAACUCUGGCCUUCAGGUCCCAUUAUCCAUGGUACGUGGGAUAUUACGUUUCUGGACAUGUUAUGUAACCUGGAGAUGGACAGGUGGGCUGGGACAGAUGAGCAGCGUGGGUCUGUCCUUGGGAGCUGAGCCUGGAGACUCAUGUGCUCAAAAUUACCGAGAGAUGGCCGGAGGGUUAUUUCAUUUUGCUUCUCCCAUCUGAUGGACUGUGCACAAGAAAACCCUUUCAGAGAGAAGAGAGUCCACUGAUGAGAGGAAACGGAUGGUGCUUUGGGGAGGGAUCAAGAAUUCAAAAUGAAAGCAAAUAGGCAGAUUUGUAGUCAUCUCUCCUCGGGAACGUCUAUGAAGCAAUGUUUAUAUUCUUGACACUUGGCUUAAAUAUUGGCAGGUGUUGGCUUCUGUGGGAUGAUAGGUGUUUUGGAAGCAGGUUCAGACAAGCUUUGCCCACACAUCCCGGGGGCUGGACUGCUUUGACAGCCUGUAUCCUGCAGACUCACGGCAACAGCCGCUCUGUCCUGACUGUGUGGUGGGAAGGACAGAAUAACGCCUUUGAAAAGAUCACUGGUGCGCCCUCCUUGUGGGGAGGCCUGGCUUCCACCUCAGAGGAGUGGGAACACCUUGCUGGCACCCUUGACGGAAGAAGGAUUUAGGACUGAAGGUUAUGAAGACAUCACGCUAGAAGUCUCCAGAUGGUCAGGAGUACAUGCACCAUCUGCUCCUCCUGGAACACCGUGCCGAGGAGCAGUUCCUGGAGCACUGACUGAACCCACACUGCAAGCCCCACUGCGACAGGAACCUGGUCCAUCCCAUCUAAGUGGCUCGGGACCAGCCUCUGCAGACACUUUGAUGAGCAAAGGCCCGGAUACUAUUGAAACAAGAUGAGGCUCCUUUCAUUUCUUUUCCAGUUGUGGAGUGGAGAUCUCCAGGGCUUGGGAACUGUGGGCACAGCAAGAUUGUGUUGGGGACUAACAGCAAAUAUUUAUGCUGCUUCACUUUACUAACCUGAACAACUCAUUAAAACCAAUCACUUAAACUAUAGCUCCUCCCUCCUCCCCUUUAACGGUCCCUUCCUACCAGUUUGAAGGGUAAGUAGAAGGAGAAUCUUUUCUGGGGCUGGUGGACCUGGGGUCUCCAGAACAGGAGAGGGGUUAGUGGGAAGGCCUUGUUCAGCCCAGUGAAACACACCACUCAGGCUGCGGGGGUUUUGGUCAUCGCUUUUUUGUCCUCUCUCGUUUUCUGCUCCAAUAAAUACUGGUGUUAAACCUA